rnacentral:rRNA from 1 species
UACGUAGGGGGCAAGCGUUGUCCGGAAUCAUUGGGCGUAAAGAGCGCGUAGGCGGCCCUGUAAGUCCGCUGUGAAAGUCAAGGGCUCAACCCUUGAAUGCCGGUGGAUACUGCAGGGCUAGAGUCCGGAAGAGGCGAGUGGAAUUCCUGGUGUAGCGGUGAAAUGCGCAGAUAUCAGGAGGAACACCGAUGGCGAAGGCAGCUCGCUGGGACGGUACUGACGCUGAGGCGCGAAAGCGUGGGGAGCAAACAGGAUUAGAACCUACCGUAGUCAGACCAAGUCCAUCUGCACCUACGAUAACACUCG